rnacentral:tRNA from 1 species
UCUAGUAGCUCAGUCAGUAAAGCAUCUGCCUGCAACGCAGGAGACCUGGGUUCGAUCCCUGGAUCUGGAA